CACUGUGGCCCACACUAGAUAGUGCUGUGAAAUUCCCGCGCAUGCCCAAUAAAACAUGUGGGCAUUUGCUACGGGAAUUUCGUCCAUUCAUUCGUCAGAAAGAUGAAGGAAAGAAUAGAAAUUUUAGACAAACACCGAAUAUAGGGAGUUAUCUACUAAGCGGCUGCAAGAUGCAGCACGGAUCGGAUCGGGGUCCUGCCCUACUUCUUCAGAGACUGGAUGAGUUAUAG